UUAAAUAACAUAACAGGCUUUGAUCGAUGAAUAGUUUUUUUAAAAUAACACUAUCAGCAGAUGUCUGUGUAAUCUGCUUAACAUGAAGAAAAUUACAGGAAUGUCAUGAAAUAUGGUUUAAAACCAUCAUAGACUGUAAGAUAGCAUAACAUAAUUUGAUCAAUGAAUUGUUUUUUUUUUUUAUUAAUAUCACUACCAUCAGAUAACAUGAAAUGAUAAAAUACUCACUUUGAUCCGUUGUCUUGGAAAGCAAAUGUCUUGGAGAGUCGUCCAAAAAGUUUUUCUGCUUCAAAGUGAUGGUUUGUAACGCGUAUAAAUAGGUUUAUAAGGGGGUGCUGUGAAAGAAAAUCGGUGUUGAGUGACCACUAGGUGUCAUCCUUGUUCUAUGAAUGAACUUGUUCGAAAGGUGGGAAACUGAACCAGGGUCGCUCAUGUCGUCAUAAAUUAGACGGGUACAAAGAGAUGCUAGCCGCUCGCCCACCGUAAUUCACAGAUGCAGCCGUCAGAAACUGUCAAAAACAUGGUACUCCUUCGUGAGAUACGUUAGUUUUAAUUAGCAAUGUCUUUGAAGAUAUUAUGAUUUUGUAGUAAAUUCGGAAGAAAGUGAAGUGUAGCGUGCAAACGAAGACGCUGUGAAUACUUGCGGGUCAGGAAGGUGAUGUGAAAACAACUCCUUUCAGCUCUCUAAACAUGGAUCUCGUUUUAUCUGAAAACAGUCGGUUUCAGUAUAUUUUUUAUAACGGUUUCAUUUAUAACCUUUUUUAAAAGAACGGAAUGUUUUUCAAGCUUAGAAUAUGUAUAUUAUAUAAAGAACUACGUGUUUUCAAACUCUGUUGUACUGUUUUACUACAAAGUCUCUGUCUCACUCCCUGGGGCACGAGCGCGCGCCUGCAGGCGCGCUCUCUCUCCGUAUCUCUCCUGGGGCACGAGCGCGGAUCAACCGUGUGCUAUCAUUCAGAGAGAGUCCGACAGAUGGAGCUGGAGUCCCGUUUCUCACAAAGCUGAAGCUUCUGUCUAAAUAAGGUCCUGGGGCAGAAACUGACAAAGCACAACUGGAAAGAUCUGAUUAAAAGUGCUUUAUUUCCCUAUAGUGGCCUUCGAGUUGGAUGUCUUGCACAAUCAAAGAAAAUAGUUUCCUUCCACGCUCCAUUGCAUCCAAAAUCAGAUACUUCUGUUUAAACUACACAGUAUUCAAAAAACGACGGACAGAAGAAAUCUAGGCCUUCACGAAACAAUCAUUUCGAGACUGGAAGUCUGGUUCAACCUAACAAAUGGAAGGACCUCAUCCUCUCCCUUCCUGUCUUUCAGACUCUUUUGGGAGGAUGAGGUGAGGGGAAAACAGGGAGGACUGGUGGUGAAGCACACACGUGUCAUCAUGAGCUGUUUCAAUUUUGCUAAAUAAAGACAUUUUUGUUGGGUGUCAGCAUCUCUGUGCCAUUGUGCAUUGUGCUGGGACCAGCAACAGAAAAUGCCCUCCAGAUCUACAUCCACAUCAGCAAACAGCACACAAUGGGCACUGUGCGAGUGACUCACGCCUGUCAUCGGUAGCUAUCAGCAGGAAAAACCCGUCUCGCCUGCUAAACCACACAUAUACAAAAGAAAACAAAUAAGGUUGUGUGGGUCAUGGAAACUUGGUGGCAAAUGCCUGGAUGUAACGAGCACCAGCGCCUCCUAGCAUUGGAAUGACAUCAUGCACUCAGCUACUCUAUUUACAUGCAUUUGGAUGAAUGGCUUCCAAUGCCUCCAGUAGGAAGUCUCUGAACUGGCAUUAUUUACAUUCCAGGGUUAUUAAAGUUAACUGAAGUGAAUGCCUUAAAAACAAUAUAAAAUAACAUUUUGUUUCUGCUAGUUGCAAAGCAAACAAAGCUGAAAUACUAAUGAAUAAAAACUAUGCAGACUUGAAAAAAAAACUAAUAAAAAUGAGAAAACAACAAAAAUUACUUAAAAACUGACUGAAAUUAAAAUAAAAGAUUAAAAUGAAAAAUAUAACUAAUAAAAAAUAUUAAUAAAAAGAAUCUAAUUUCAAUGAUGCUAAAUUAAGACUGUUACAUUCUUAAUGUAAUUUUAAGAAUUUAUUGUGAAUAAAAUAUCCAAGGUUUCUGGAUGUAAUUUCAAAUUCCCCAAAUGUCCUUGUAAUCCACUUUUUAAUUUCCAAAUAAUAUUUUUAUUAUUAUCAUUAUUAGAUAUCCAGAUUCACUUAGUAAUAUGUCACAUUACAGAUGAAACUUGGAUUACCUGACUCAAUAAUUGAAUCACUUAAUAGCUGUUAAUUCUAGACAGUAAUAAAAUUAAAUUAGAUUUUUUUAUACUUAGAUCUUUCUCCAUGAAGAAUAAUAGGUCUGCAAUUAAAUCAGAGAUCUGAAUAUGAACUCAAGCAUUUCUCAUUAAAUUCCAUAAAAAUCAUGCUGUCUGCAACAGUUUUCUCUCUCUCUCUCUCUCUCUCUCUCUCUCUCUCUCUCUCUCUCUCUCUCUAUAUAUAUAUAUAUAUAUAUAUAUAUAUAUAUAUAUCACUCUAUAUGCUCUAUAUCGGUAUACAGUUAAUAAUUGUCUAAAUUGUGUCUAUUUUUAUUUCUAUAGAUAUUUAUACAUUUAUUUCUGCAUGUGACCCUGGAUCACAAAAUCAGUCAUAAGGGUCCAUUCCUUUGAUGUAUGGUUUGUUAGUAUAGGAGAAUAUUUGGCCGUGAUACAACUAUUUGUAAAUCUGGAAUCUGAGGAUGCAAAAAAAUCUAAAUAUUGAGAAAAUGGCCUUUAAAGUUGUCCAAAUGAAGUUCUUAGCAAUGCAUAUUGCAAAAAGAAAA